GAUCCGGCUCAGGACGAACGCUGGCGGCGUGCUUAACACAUGCAAGUCGAACGAGAAUCUACUGAAAGAGUUUUCGGACAAUGGAUGUAGAGGAAAGUGGCGGACGGGUGAGUAACGCGUGAGGAACCUGCCUUGAAGAGGGGGACAACAGUUGGAAACGACUGCUAAUACCGCAUGACGCAUAGGGGUCGCAUGAUCUUUAUGCCAAAGAUUUAUCGCUUCAAGAUGGCCUCGCGU
rnacentral:rRNA from 1 species